GAUGAACGCUGGCGGCGUGCCUAAUACAUGCAAGUCGAGCGAACAGAUGAGGAGCUUGCUCCUCUGACGUUAGCGGCGGACGGGUGGGUAACACGUGGAUAACCUACCUAUAAGACUGGGAUAACUUCGGGAAACCGGAGCUAAUACCGGAUAAUAUAUUGAACCGCAUGGUUCAAUAGUGAAAGACGGGUUUGCUGUCACUUAUAGAUGGAUCCGCGCCGCAUUAGCUAGUUGGUAAGGUAACGGCUUACCAAGGCAACGAUGCGUAGCCGACCUGAGAGGGUGAUCGGCCACACUGGAACUGAGACACGGUCCAGACUCCUACGGGAGGCAGCAGUAGGGAAUCUUCCGCAAUGGGCGAAAGCCUGACGGAGCAACGCCGCGUGAGUGAUGAAGGUCUUCGGAUCGUAAGACUCUGAUAUUAGGGAAGAACAAAUGUGUAAGUAACUAUGCACGUCUUGACGGUACCUAAUCAGAAAGCCACGGCUAACUACGUG
rnacentral:rRNA from 1 species